GCGGCUUUUAUCAGUAGUGAGAAGUGCGCGUAUUUACGUUCGGUGAUGUCACAUUUCUCCACUCGCGCCAUAAUAAAAUUUAAAUCCGCAUACGUCUCUGUCGGAUUAUAAUAAAGCCGGUCCCGCCUCUCCGCGUCGCCCGCAACGGUUUUCAACAACCAGUCGUUUGAAAUCGUGUGUACGUUGUCAAGGUAGUCGUUUACGCUUGCACUUCGACGGGUAGUUGUUGUUUACGUUCGAUUUGCCUUCGAGUUUUUAUUUAUUUCGUGAUCGGGGGACGUUUUUCACUCGAAAGCGAUUAUGUGGCCAGUGCGUGGAACGUGAGUGCAUCGAGUGUCGACAAUCGAACCGGUUUUGUGAACGAUUUUCAAAACCUGUCGAUCCAGUAUCCUAAAAUGGUUACCGGCGAAACGUUGUCGAUCCAGGUUUAUAUAUUGACCCUUUUAAGGACACUCUCUUGAGUAGUAGUGUAUCGCGAGACUGAGCCUCUUAAUUUGCCGACUGAUCCGAACUAAGUGCCAAAAAAAAAAACGAAAUGAUUAAGAUGAAGAAUAUCAAAGCGAUUUUUCGUAGAGGACAAACGCAGGCGUCCUCGAAAAGUGAACCGGGACAAUUGCGGGAGGAUCUAACCCGAUGCUCCUCCGCGACGAACUUGGCGGAGACGAAGAGUAAGGGCGCGUUUUCCAAGUUGAGAAAAUCGGCCUCGAAGGACAAACUAGACAAGUUGACCGAGAAGAAGGGCGAGAGAGAUGUCGCGAGCAACAACAACAAGCCGAACGGUGGCGGCGACGUCGACGAAACGCUAGAAGUCGAAUUUUUGCAAAGACAACUCACGGAAAUGGCCAAGGAGAAGUGCGAUCUCGUUCUCGAAUUGGGCGAGCGCAAGGGCGAACUGCAAAUUCUCAAAAAUGAAAUCGUCAAAUUAAAGAUGUUUCAGGAACAGUCCGUGUUUCGGAUCGAACAACUGAGCGACGAAAACACCUCCUUACGUAAUCGACUGAGAGACGUCGCUCAUUCCCCUCUGUCCGAUAACGAGAAGCGACAGCUGUUGCUCGACGCCGAGCGACAUAGCUCAGCGCCCGCUUCGAUAGCGACAAAUUUAUUGGACGAUGAAUCGGGGGAUGUCACGUCGUGCCCGACUCCCGAUUGGGAUAAACAUUCCAGUAGUAAUGUCAGCGAGGUUUCCGUUGCGUGUCUGCAAGACAAAAUUAACCAAAUGCAAGAGACCCAUUACAGCACAAACGAGGAACUUCAAGCGACGCUGCAGGAGCUGACUGACCUGCAGCGGCAACUGACCGAACUACAGCAGGACAACGAGCGGCUGUCCGACGAGAAAAAUCUAAUGUUCGAUUCGUUAUGUCGACAAACCGAGAGGCUCAACGACGCGAGGACCGAGGUCGAAUCCCUAAAGCAGUUGCUCUACCGAGAGAAGGACGAGAGCGGGCAGUUCGAGAGUAUCGUCGAUCGCGAGCAGAAACUAGUUGCCCUGCUUAAGAGCGCGCAGGAGGAACGCGAAACGCUUCUGCUUAAGCAGGAACAACUGGCGAACGAACUGCAAGACGCGCGCGCCUCGAACGUCGAACACGCCGCCGAAAUCGAACAGUUAACCGAACGAGUGCGAACCUUGGAAAGCACAUUGGACGCGAAACACGCCGAACACAAGCAGAUCGAUCAGGAGCUCGCGCUCGCCAAGGAUCAGUGCAGCGGUCGCCAGAUCGAGAUCAACCGUUUGACCGACCUGCUCGAGAACGCGCGCACGAAAAUCAACGAGCUGGAGCAGGAACGUGCGCUGAACGACAAGUCCGAACUGGACGAGCUGUUGGACAACGCGCGAAAGGAGAAGGACGGGUUGGAAUCGGAGGUGGCCCACUUGAAGGAGCAGCUCGCGAGGAGUCGCAACGAGAUCGAAAAGUUCCGCGAGCAGGUUUCCAUUCUGCAGGAGGAGUGUAAGGUGACCCGAAACAACGCAAAGUGCACCCAAUCGGAGUUGGAGUACAAGUGCGAGAGGCUAACGGCCGAAAAGGCAAGCGUCAACGACCAACUGCAGCAAUUGCAGGAGGCGGCGAACGAGCUACAGGUGCAAGCGCAAUGUCAGGUGGAGGACAAGCGCCAAUUGUCCACGGUACUAUCGGAAACACAGCGUAAUCUCAGCGAGGCGGAGCGGCGCAACAACGAUCUCGAUCGCGAAAUCGACGAACUGCAGAGGAUACGAAAGGAGGAGAACGAGGAGUGGGAGAAAUUCCAAAACGAUCUUUUAACCUCGGUUAGAGUCGCUAACGACUUUAAGAGUGAGGCGCAGCAGGAAUUACAAAAAAUGAUUAUGGAAAAUAAGGCGCAUCGGGAACGGAUUCGACAGCUCGAGUCGCAAGUGGACAAACUGAAAGAUCACGCUCAACCAGUAAAUGUCACUGAGACAGAUGAUACUGUUAAACGUGAAAACGCCAUUCCUGUAAUUGAAAGCGCGCCACGACCGCAAAAUUUACACUCACGAAGCGAUUCGAUCGUGUCCGAGCAGCUACUGAUGCCUGAUCAGACACACGUACCAAAAGUGAAGAAUGAGCCAAUAGUUGAACCGAUUCUAGAGAAGGUGAAAGCUAAAUUGGGGAUAAGAAAGCGACUGGAUAGUCCCACGCGAAUCGCCGGCGGGAGCGAUGAACAUUUCGUAUCCAAUCAAACGGUCGUUCUGAAGGUGAAGGGGGCCGAUGUGAAGCCCGUCGGUGGCAAUUCGGUUACGUUCGAAACGCUCGACGAAUUGUACGAGAAAAUAAACAUGGACAAACCGGACGAUCAGUUCACCAAAGAAGAGAAGUUUGUAAUAAAAUUAAAGCAUUCGCUCGACGAAAUGGGCCGCAAAAAUACAUUAAAACGAAGCGUGAUGAAAAAGAAGAAAAAGCUCCUCAUCAGCGAGCCGAUUUUUACGUCCGUCUUCUCAAACCAAAAGCUAGUGUCGUACCUAAGCGAUCCCAGCAUCAAGACUGUUCCGGAGUUGUCGUCCCGUAACUCGAUCGACAGCAGCUCGCUCGACGAUUUCCUAAACAGCCUAAUGAAGAUUCCCCGGCCGUCGCUUACGGCGCCGCCGCGUCGCGCGGUAUUUUACGACGACAUCGCCGACGUCUUCGCGGAUUUAAACUCCGAGGGGUCAUCGGUUUUCAGUCGACCGACCUCGAACGUCAACAUGAAGUCCUUCUCGAGGCCGGAUUUGCGCGAAGUCGAUUUGAAGGUGAGCGAAUUCGCUAAGGCGCAAUCGUUUGACGAUGUCGACGAAGCGGCGGCGGGAAGAAAACCAAUUCCGAUGCCGCGCAGCAAGAGCUACGUAGAAGGCUUGUCAAUUGACACUCCGACAGAGACAUUUGGCAACUGUCAAGUCCAAAUUUCCAGUAAGAUGAGCGAAUUGGAAAUUGCCACGUCCGAGCCCGACCUCCCGAAGGGCACUUUGACACAAACAGAUUCGGUGAUAAUUAUCGAUCCGAAGGUGGAGCACGGAGAAGGUCCCGGUACCUUGCCGAAUCCCUGCCUGAAAAUGGUGGGUCGCAGUCCGGACAGUGCCAGCAUCGGGGGGAAACAUGUGGAGGGCGCAAUUUCGCCCGCCUCUUCUCACAUGCAGACGUUGGAUAGCGAAAGCACCUUCCAUAACGCCCGAAGAAAGUUCGAAAGCCUAAUUCAGACCAGUAAUUUUAGGAGCGAAGUUAUGAAAAAAGUUACUCUUAGAAAUUUAAGUAAAAGUACUUAGGAAACUGUACGACGAUAUUAAUAAAGUAGUUAUAUUUCUUUACCUUUGAAUAUUGACACGGCCACGGACGUAAGUGAGCGAACCCGUACUACGACCGGAGAGCUUUUCGAACGACGACAUGGCCACUCGAAGACAGAAGGUGGGUUUAAAUCGA